CGUGAGCGCUAGCUUACGUGGAGGCAUUGGUGGGAUACUACCCUAAUUGUAUUGGAUUUCUAACCCGCAGCACUUAUCGUGCUGGGAGACAGUGUCAGGCGGGCAGUUUGACUGGGGCGGUCGCCUCCUAAAGAGUAACGGAGGCGCUCAAAGGUUCCCUCAGAAUGGUUGGAAAUCAUUCAUAGAGUGUAAAGGCAUAAGGGAGCUUGACUGCGAGACCUACAAGUCGAGCAGGGUCGAAAGACGGACUUAGUGAUCCGGUGGUUCCGCAUGGAAGGGCCAUCGCUCAACGGAUAAAAGCUACCCCGGGGAUAACAGGCUUAUCUCCCCCAAGAGUUCACAUCGACGGGGAGGUUUGGCACCUCGAUGUCGGCUCAUCGCAUCCUGGGGCUGUAGUCGGUCCCAAGGGUUGGGCUGUUCGCCCAUUAAAGCGGUACGCGAGCUGGGUUCAGAACGUCGUGAGACAGUUCGGUCCCUAUCCGUCGUGGGCGUAGGAAAUUUGAGAGGAGCUGUCCUUAGUACGAGAGGACCGGGAUGGACAUACCUCUGGUGUACCAGUUGUCGUGCCAACGGCAUAGCUGGGUAGCUAUGUAUGGACGGGAUAAGUGCUGAAAGCAUCUAAGCAUGAAGCCCCCCUCGAGAUGAGAUUUCCCAACUUCGGUUAUAAGAUCCCUCAAAGAUGAUGAGGUGAAUAGGUUCGAGGUGGAAGCGUAGCGAUACGUGGAGCUGACGAAUACUAAUCGAUCGAAGACUUAAUCAAU
rnacentral:rRNA from 1 species